rnacentral:rRNA from 1 species
CACGUAGUUAGCCGGCGCUUCUUUACCCACUACCCUCACCUCAACCCAAAGCUGCGGCUUGACCAUGAGCGAAAGAGGUUUACAACCCGAAGGCCUCCAUCCCUCACGCGGCGUCGCUGCAUCAGGCUUUCGCCCAUUGUGCAAUAUUCCCCACUGCUGCCUCCCGUAGGAGUCUGGGCCGUAUCUCAGUCCCAAUGUGACCGGUCACCCUCUCAGGCCGGCUACCCGUCAAAGCCUUGGUAGGCCAUCACCCCACCAACAAGCUGAUAGGCCGCGAGCCCAUCCCCCACCAGAAAAACCUUUCCACCAACCCCCAUGCGAAGGCAAGUGAAUAUCCAGUAUUAGCACCCGUUUCCGGCGUUAUCCCAAAGAAGAGGCAGGUUACUCACGUGUUACUCACCCGUUCGCCACUCAUCCACCCAGCAAGCUGGGCUUCAGCGUUCGACUUGCAUGUGUUAAGCACGCCGCCAGCGUUCGUCCUGUACGCCGUACGGACUCAAACGUACCUCUAGACGUACGUACG